CCACCUCCCCCCGCCCCGCCCCCAGGCUUCUGGCCAGCAGCCUCUGCGGAGCACAGCGGGGGUCCAGCCGGAGUUUGGCCUCUUCUCAGCCGAGCCGGACCGCUCUCUGCUCUGUGCUUGAGUUUUUCCGGUGAGACAGUCGGCGUCACUGGUUUGCUGUCAAUGCAUGGCAUGAACAAGGAAGGGCUGCCUCCUCCAGUCGCCGCACGUAGGCCGACAUCUCCUAAUCAACAGAUCAGUUAACCUGCUUAGCAGACACCUGACAGGAAGGUGACUGGCGUGGUGGAGCUGAAGGGACAAAGGCUGUGCGUCAGGAGCCCGGGGUCAUGUUUCCACCUCUGCCUGGGACUUAACCACCUCUACGGGCCCAGCCCCUCCUUCUGCAUUGAGGGCCUGGAUAAAGGGGCUUUGAGAACGCUCCACCGAGGAUUAGAGAGAUAGCAUCAGCGCGCAGUUCUGCGGUCUGGAAAGAAAGCGCUGUGUCAAUACCACUGGCUGAACUCAGCCCUCUCCAGGCUGUUCAUCUGGCCUGGGCUUCCUUGUCUGUUUUGGCAUCGUUAUGUAACCCGACGUGUACACGGAUGUGCCUUGUGGGGAUGCCGGGAAGCGCGUGCGUUUGGGGAGGCACGAUGGGAUUUAAUAGAAAAAUACUAAAGCCUGGAAAAUUCCAGACUCGAGACCCCCACGACUGGACAGGCUUUACAUUGCCUUUGGCCUUCCAAAGUCAUUGAAUGAGCAAGGUAGUGAAAUGUUCAAGGUUCAAGGUUUCCUGUCUUCUAGAAAGGAUGCUGACAAUGGCCAAGACAGCCAAUCUUAUGGAGAGGAGAGCAGGUGCCUGCCUUUCUCACAGAUUUCCUGGCCCUUCUUACCCCUGGCACAGAGGUCGGAUAAAUAAAUCACUUGAAAACCCAGAUUUCCUUAGUAUGGGGGAAAUGGAGAAUCAUAGGGAGGAUGAUGCCUGGCAAACAAAAACUUGAUGUUGGAGGACUCAGCCUCUCCACCCUGCUAUUUCUCAGCAUUUUCUUUGGUGCAGUCUUCACCAGAAUAUUGAUACCAGAAGUGAGAUCCAGGCCAAGUUAAAGUAAAUAAAUAAAUAAAUGUGAAAAAGCAAAAUCAUGAAAUGGAAAACAUCUUAUAAAAUCUUUGGACAAAUUAAUUGCAUGCCUUGCUUGUCACCCCCAUGUUGUCAUGUUUCUGCUGGGCGUAUGGCUCAGUUGAAUUCCCUCUCAUGGCAGGCAUUGGGUGCACGCUGUUCCUUUUACCUCGCCUGCCUUCCUCACAGGCUCUCCGUUGCCUGCCUGCCUCCUGUUUCCUCUCUGGCUCUCAGUCUGGCAGUCACUCUCUGUACCACACAAACUUGUGUGCUUCUGAGUGGCAGGUUUCACCAUCUCUAAUAAAAAGUUGCAGCCAGGUGGUGGUGGCGCACACCUUUGAUCCCAGCACUGGAGAGGCAGAG